CACAAUAAACACGUUUUCACUCCCCGCUGAAACACUCUUGAGGGGAAAAAGUCGUAGAUUUCUCCUCUUUAUAAAUGGACUGUGCUACACAUUCCUGCAAUCUUUCGGCUGCUCUGUGUGCUAUAGUUUCUGCAAACUUUCAAAUGUUACAAUUGACCUCAGUAUCUCCUACAUUGAAAAUUUAUUUAUACAUAGUUUUCGAUUCUUUACUGAAGACAAAAUUUCUUCUUAUAAAAAUUAUGCACUUUGAUAAAGAAGUUAUGCAAAAUAGCAAAUUAAUAUUAAUUAAUUGAAAUGCAAAUGAUGAAAAAUAAUGUAUAAAAUCGAAUAAAUAACAAAUUAAGACGUCUUUAAAAUUUUCAUUAACAUUUUAAAAUAUUAUUCAAAUGAAAAAUUUUCCAA
rnacentral:lncRNA from 1 species